CAACUCUCAACAACGGAUAUCUUGGCUCCCGCAACGAUGAAGAACGCAGCGAAAUGCGAUACUUAAUGUGAAUUGCAGAAUUCCGUGAAUCAUCGAGUCUUUGAACGCAUAUUGCGCCCGAGGCUUCGGCCAAGGGCAUGUCUGCCUCAGCGUCGGUUG
rnacentral:rRNA from 1 species